AUUCCAGCUCCAAUAGCGUAUAUUUAAGUUGUUGCAGUUAAAAAGCUCGUAGUUGGAUUUCGGGUGUCAUCUGCCGGUCCGCCGUUUCGGUGUGCACUGGCGGGCGUCAUCUUUCUGUCGAGGACGCGCUCCUGUCCUUCACUGGUCGGGACGCGGAGUCGGCGAGGUUACUUUGAAAAAAUUAGAGUGUUCAAAGCGGGCUUACGCUUGAAUAUAUUAGCAUGGAAUAACACUAUAGGACUCCUGUCCUAUUUUGUUGGUCUUCGGGACGGGAGUAAUGAUUAAGAGGAACAGUUGGGGGCAUUCGUAUUUCAUUGUCAGAGGUGAAAUUCUUGGAUUUAUGAAAGACGAACUUCUGCGAAAGCAUUUGCCAAGGAUGUUUUCAUUA
rnacentral:rRNA from 1 species